rnacentral:rRNA from 1 species
UGAUACGUAGGGACCGAGCGUUGUCCGGAUUCAUUGGGCGUAAAGAGCUCGUAGGCGGUUUGGUAAGUCAGGUGUGAAAACUGGAGGCUCAACCUCCAGCCUGCAUCAGAUACUGCCAUGACUAGAGUCCGGUAGGGGAGAAUGGAAUUCCCGGUGUAGCGGUGAAAUGCGCAGAUAUCGGGAGGAACACCAGUGGCGAAGGCGGUUCUCUGGGCCGGUACUGACGCUGAGGAGCGAAAGCUAGGGGAGCAAACAGGAUUAGAUACCCUGGUAGUCCUAGCCGUAAACGAUGGGCACUAGGUGUGGGGGGCUGACUAACUCCCUCCGUGCCGGCGCUAACGCAUUAAGUGCCCCGCCUGGGGAGUACGGCCGCAAGGCUA